UCUGCGCUGGUCACUCGUCUUGUAUGGCGGCGGGGAGCACUGGCACCCGCCGAGACGCUUAAGAAGUUCUUCAAUUUCGAAAAGUUUCUUCGCGAGAUAGCUUCUUGACAUCGGCAUCUUAGUGGGGUUAUUCUUUUAUAAAAUCCCACUCCUGACACCAAUGUGGCCAAUGUUAAAGGCAGAGUCGUGAUAUUCUUUCGGUGACUUAAUUGUAACGUUCCAAGAGUGCACCAAGACCUUACUCAACCGAGAGCCUAACAUUUACUCUCUGACUUCACUAACGCUCCUCCUAAAGGCAAGCCCACACCGCACCGAAAAUCGGCGUCGGUGAGAAAAUCGGCGUCGGUUUCAUGAGUCUAUUUGGUGUGGUCGCUCAAAUUGGCCACGUCGGCGUUCAUUUCAGACGAUUCAACAUGUGUAAUCGGCCAUUCGAGUCGGUCAUUCUUUAACCAUUCUGAUACGUGGAGGGCUAGCAGCUUGACUAGCGAAUCAGUGAAGCCCGGAAGUGAGGAUGGUAAACAUACCAGAUAAACAGUGCAAUCGAAGAAGAUGUCGACACACUCUCUCAACGCAUUGUUUGGCAUUGUUUUGAUUGAUUGAAUAAUGUGGAUCGAAGAGCUCGUGCAACAAUUCAUCACCAUGGUGGAGGAUAGACCUAAGGAGGUCUGGAGAGGACCUGCUACUUCCGGUUUUCGUGUUUUUUGGCCAACAAUACAGAUUAGCGCCGCCUGUUGUUUUGGAGACAUUACAUCUCGCGCAAGCGCGGAACGUACGGCGUCGGCUGUAAUCCCGUAGGUUGGCCAUGGUGUGGUACCACCAGAAGAGGCGGGAGGUGAUGAAAUAAGCCACCACCACGUCUACGCUGUAGUGCUCGUGGGCCACCAGGAUGCACACCACGCCCACUGCGCUGAUCAGCCAGCACAGCAGGUGGUACCACCAGAAUGACCGCGGAAGUCCCCGCACAUGAGGUGGGAGCCCGUGAUGGAGAGCCCUGCGCCCGAGAUCAGCUGGAGGAUACGCUGGAGCUUAGCCUGGGAAUCACCGUGUAGCUACAUACAAAAAGAGAGGCUGAAGUCAUGUGCAUGCCAGGCACGGGGAGGGUUGUGAUGUACAUGGUGACACAGCGGUACAGGUACAGUGUACCAAUGAGGAAGAAGAACCGCCUGCUUGCUAUUGACCUGAAACAACAUGAGGGACCAGAGCCGACUUUCAUUGAGUUGAUUUCUCUACAGAAAGUAAAGUUUAAUGAAAGGAGAAAAACAACUCCCAAGGGGUUACGGUGGUGGAAGAUCUCACCUGUAUUUGAAGAAGAAGAGCUGGACGAGCCAUAUGGUCACCAGCACCAUGCCGUUCACCUCGGUCACAGUGAACGCCCA